GGAGAGCGCAGACCUCCGCAAAGCAGCUCAUGUCCCCCCUUAUAUUGUGAUUCACACCAAAACUUUUACUGUUACGUGUCUUUUAUUAACUUUUAUUUGUGUUUAAACUGGUAUGUUCACUGUUCAUAAUGUUCCUAAUACAACAAAGUUCAUAUUAGAUACAUAAAUGCAUGAUUUAUUAUGCAAUAUUUGUAAGCGUACACUUCCUUGUAUCUUCAUUGAUUAUCUUUCAGCAUUGAAUAUUCCAACGACACCCUUAUUUUUGUGUGUUCUAGAUCACGGUAUCCGGAAUUUUGUCUGGAUCAGGAUCAACCUUUGACACCUCAUAAAACUCAAUGAGAUCCUUGUGUGCAAUUUUUUACUAAAGACUCUGGUCAUUUUUAUAGAGUUAAAUGCAAAAAUUCCAAAAUUUGCCCUAUCUCACAACGAUAAAGAUUCCUUCAAAAAACUCCUGGAUCCAGAAGGCGAUCCGGAUCACCACCAAAAUUUAAUGGGAUCCUCCUGGGGCUGAGACGCAUCUCUGGUGAAAAUUUCAGGUCAAUCCGUCUGUAACUUUCUCCGUAAAGUUAGUCACAGACAAACAAACAAACAAACCAACGCUACCAAAAACAUAACCUCCUUGGCGGAGGUAAUCAACAUGGAUCAAAGUAAGAGGAAUGAAAAUUGACAUACAAUAAAAACAAAGUAGUAGGAGUACAGCUACUGAAAUCUGACUAUGAUGGUCUGCUUAUGUAUAUAUGUUUUAUUAGCCUACGAGAGAGGACUGUGUGAACCAUAACUCGCAGCAAAAGCCUGAUUGUAAAACAGUAUAAGAGGCAUGAUUAUGUCUGAAUUUACCGUCAGGAAGAUUGUUAAAAAGGUAUGAGUUAUGAUUAUUAAAUUUCUGUGGGAUCCCUGUUUUCAUCUUUAAAUCUUCCUUCUGAACAACACAAAGCUUUAGCGUUUAAGGCUGAGCGGAGUUGUUGGAAGGUUAAGGACCUGUAGAAGUGAACAAAAUGUCCUGCCAGCUCUUCUACGAAGGCAUCCUGCACGUCUCAGGAGUCUUUCUUUAUGACAGUUGGAGCAGCAGGAGGAGAGGACGUCUUGCAAAUAUAAAAGAUAGGAAAAUGCUGGCCAUGUCACAUUUUCCAUGGUCGCAACCACACUUUGGCGUAAACUCUGGAGGCAAUACUCUUCUGACCCGGUAGGUUUUUGU